AGUAGAUAGCUCAAACCCAACUCAGCCAUUGAAGGACAGGGUUUCACUAUGUUGGCCAGGAUGUUCAACAACUUCUGCCUUCAAGUGAUCUUCCCUCCUGGGCCUCCCCAAGUGCUGAGAUUGCAAGCAUCAGCCACCACACCCAGCCCAUGACAUUUUCUUCAUUAUGGCUGGUACUGCCUCAUGACACAGUCUCACUCUGUUGUCCAGGCUGGAGUCAACGGCAUUAUCUCAGCUCACUGCAACCUCCACCUCCUGGGUUCAAGCAAUUCUCGUGCCUCAGCCUCCCAAGUAGCUGGGAU